AGCGCCUUUAAUUCAGUCCUGUGAGGCUGGCAAGGUAACGUGAAUCGAGGUUCGCGACUCUUAGAAAGGUAUCCGAGUGUAUACACCGGACUGUCUUUUUAUGCGCGCGGCCAUCAUCUUCUUCAUCUGCGGAUUUCACUCCUUGCCUGUUAAUAGGCAAGGAGUUUUUUGAU
rfam:Paenibacillus sp. FSL H7-0737, complete genome.